CCCUAGCCCUGAUAGAAGCGGUAUCCUUUUUCCUGCUUCUUUAGCAGGGAAAAGAUAAAGCGGAUAGCAGGAUUGGCU
rnacentral:sRNA from 1 species